CCUACGGGGGGCAGCAGUGGGGAAUUUUGGACAAUGGGCGCAAGCCUGAUCCAGCCAUUCCGCGUGCAGGAUGAAGGCCCUCGGGUUGUAAACUGCUUUUGGACGGAACGAAAAGCCUUUUUCUAAUACAGGAAGGUCAUGACGGUACCGUCAGAAUAAGCACCGGCUAACUACGUGCCAGCAGCCGCGGUAAUACGUAGGGUGCAAGCGUUAAUCGGAAUUACUGGGCGUAAAGCGUGCGCAGGCGGUUAUGUAAGACAGAUGUGAAAUCCCCGGGCUCAACCUGGGAACUGCAUUUGUGACUGCAUAGCUAGAGUACGGUAGAGGGGGAUGGAAUUCCGCGUGUAGCAGUGAAAUGCGUAGAUAUGCGGAGGAACACCGAUGGCGAAGGCAAUCCCCUGGACCUGUACUGACGCUCAUGCACGAAAGCGUGGGGAGCAAACAGGAUUAGAUACCCUGGUAGUCCNCCCCNUAAACNAUGUCAACUGGUUGUUGGGUCUUCNCUGACUCAGUANCGAANCUAACNCGUGAAGUUGACCNCCUGGGGAGUACNGCCNCNAGGNUGAAACUCAAAGNAAUUGACGGGGACCCCCCCANCCGGGGAAGAUGNGGUUUANUUNAUNCAACNCNAAAANCUUACCCCCNUUUACUUUCCGGAANCCNCCCAAAAGGNGGANGGGUGGAAANAAAAAAAANCCNGNCCUGGGUGG
rnacentral:rRNA from 1 species